rnacentral:rRNA from 1 species
ACGGGAGGCAGCAGUGGGGAAUAUUGCACAAUGGGGGAAACCCUGAUGCAGCGACGCUGCGUGAGUGAAGAAGUAUUUCGGUAUGUAAAGCUCUAUCAGCAGGGAAGAUAAUGACGGUACCUGACUAAGAAGCCCCGGCUAACUACGUGCCAGCAGCCGCGGUAAUACGUAGGGGGCAAGCGUUAUCCGGAUUUACUGGGUGUAAAGGGAGCGUAGACGGUCUGGCAAGUCUGAAGUGAAAUGCCGGGGCUCAACCCCGGAACUGCUUUGGAAACUGUUGGACUGGAGUGCAGGAGAGGUAAGCGGAAUUCCUAGUGUAGCGGUGAAAUGCGUAGAUAUUAGGAGGAACACCAGAGGCGAAGGCGGCUUACUGGACUGUAACUGACGUUGAGGCUCGAAAGCGUGGGGAGCAAACAGAAUUAGAUACCCUGGUA